GAUGAACGCUGGCGGCGUGCCUAAUACAUGCGAGUCGAGCGAACAGACGAGGAGCUUGCUCCUCUGACGUUAGCGGCGGACGGGUGAGUAACACGUGGAUAACCUACCUAUAAGACUGGGAUAACUUCGGGAAACCGGAGCUAAUACCGGAUAAUAUAUUGAACCGCAUGGUUCAAUAGUGAAAGACGGUUUUGCUGUCACUUAUAGAUGGAUCCGCGCCGCAUUAGCUAGUUGGUAAGGUAACGGCUUACCAAGGCAACGAUGCGUAGCCGACCUGAGAGGGUGAUCGGCCCCACUGGAACUGAGACACGGUCCAGACUCCUACGGGAGGCAGCAGUAGGGAAUCUUCCGCAAUGGGCGAAAGCCUGACGGAGCAACGCCGCGCGAGUGAUGAAGGUCUUCGGAUCGUAAAACUCUGUUAUUAGGGAAGAACAAAUGUGUAAGUAACUAUGCACGUCUUGACGGUACCUAAUCAGAAAGCCACGGCUAACUACGUG
rnacentral:rRNA from 1 species